ACCUUAUACAGAUGUAGUGACGCAAGACAGUGACGCAUCUCCCUGUAAGGUGGUGCUUACGUAGAAGUAUGAGCAACAAGUUCUAUUGCGUGGCUUUUGAGUCGAAAUGGAAUGAGCUUAUAUGGAAUAGGUUAACCGUAAGACCUUGAAUUGAAAUAUUCUAAAAUUGACCUAGAAAUGUCUUUCUCAAAUUUUGCUAUUUCUAGUUACGGUGCU
rnacentral:sRNA from 12 species